GGGAGCUUAGCUCAGUCGGUAGAGCAUGCGGCUGUUAACCGCAGGGCCGUGUGUUCGAGUCACACAGUUCCCG
rnacentral:tRNA from 1 species